GUAGUCAUAUGCUUGUCUCAAAGAUUAAGCCAUGCAUGUCUAAGUAUAAGCAAUUAUACCGCGAAACUGCGAAUGGCUCAUUAUAUAAGUUAUCGUUUAUUUGAUAGUAACUUACUACUUGGAUAACCGUGGUAAUUCUAGAGCUAAUACAUGCUAAAAAUCCCGACUUCGGAAGGGAUGUAUUUAUUAGAUUAAAAGCCAAUGCCCUCUGGGCUCUCUGGUGAUUCAUGAUAACUUCUCGAAUCGCAUGGCCUUGCGCCGGCGAUGGUUCAUUCAAAUUUCUUCCCUAUCAACUUUCGAUGUUUGGGUAUUGGCCAAACAUGGUUGCAACGGGUAACGGAGGGUUAGGGCUCGACCCCGGAGAAGGAGCCUGAGAAACGGCUACUACAUCCAAGGAAGGCAGCAGGCGCGCAAAUUACCCAAUCCCGACACGGGGAGGUAGUGACAAUAAAUACUGAUACAGGGCUCUUUUGGGUCUUGUAAUUGGAAUGAGUACAAUUUAAAUCCCUUAACGAGGAACAAUUGGAGGGCAAGUCUGGUGCCAGCAGCC
rnacentral:rRNA from 1 species